UUAGGAUUUUGGCUUAUUUAGGGAAAUGACCCUUAUAAUUCCAUUAUGGACCAAUUUCUAUAUUCUGAAGAUUCUUAUGCUCUUGUAAAAAAUCCAAUGGAUUUGAUGAAGUAUAAUUCAAUUAUCUCAGUCUUCAAUUAUAUGGUUCUAUUUGGUUGGAUGCGGAUAUUUCCUAUGAGUGUAGUUUUGGGGGGGCUGAAGAAGUGAACUUGGUUCGAUUUGAUCAAACCGUCCUGUGAGGAUUUUGAUGAAGGAUUUAGUGGUUUCAAGAUGACAACCAGGUUUUGCGAGCUGGUAGGCACUCCAUUGGUUUAAAAAAGUUUCCAAUGGUCCCAAAAGGAUCAAAGGAUCCCCAUCAGAGGAUGGUGCUGGCACUGACGAAGCUCUGCGGUAGUGCCUAAUCAUUACCGAGGAAGACAUAUGCUGGAAAUACGUUGUGGUGCUGCUCUUGAGGCAAUCAGAAUUAGCUGUGCAGGGUACCCCACUAGAUGAUUGUUCUAUGAGUUUCUCCUCCAUUUUGGUGUUCUUGCUCCAGAAGUUUUGCAUGGAAACUAUGAUGACAAGGUUGCAUGCCAGAUGAUUCUGGAUAAAAUGGGAUUGAAAGGUCAUCAGAUAGGCAAGACAAAGGUCUUCCUGCGAGCUGGGCAGCUAGCUGAGGUGGAUGUGACUAGCUGAGGUUCUUGGAAAUGCGGCCAACAAAAUUCAAAGGCAAAUUCAUACUUAUAUUGCUCGCAAGGAGUUCAUUUCAAUACGUAAAGCUGCUAUUCAGUUGCAUUCAUGUUGGCGAGGUAACUUUAUGAUUCCCUUCUACAUUAUGCCUUUUUGAGUUUGUUAUUUUUUAGUUUUUCAUUGAAUGUUCAGUCUUACAUGUGAGAUAAGUGUAGCAUUGUUGUUCAAAGAAGUUAUUGUAAAAUUGCUUAGUCAUUUCUUUAGGUUUUGGGCUUGGUGACUUGGGAAUUCCUUGUCGGCAAAUUACAUUAGAAGUCUAGUUAUAUUGGAAGCAUUAAUGGAUGAAAAUGUUUGGUGUGCAUAUAUCUGCAAGUGUCUAGGGUGUUGACAAGUAAAUGUAAUUUAAAAUCAUAUAUGAAUAUAUGACAGUAGUUAAGCAUCCUUGGACGAAAAUAGUACUAAAAUAGGUGACCUCCUGGGAUUACAGAAUGUUGGGUAGCUAAGAAACAACACGUGUAGAAAUUGAGUGUAGAUGAGAUGAGAAUGCUUAGGUGGAUAUGCGGUAAGACUAAUGGCAUUUUUUAAAACACCAUGAAGGUAAGAUGAUGCCCAUAUCCGCGGCCAAUGUUAUAAACAUCAUCUGAACUUUUUGACAGUGUUUUUGUGGUCUAUUGUGGCACUUUUGAAAUGCCACUAAUUCUGAAGUUUCUUGUAUUGACGUAGCAUUUCCCUUGUUUGUAGCAUUGUUGUUUUCUUUGUCAUCCAAGUCAAGUCCAUAAUAAUAUCUCAAUUUUUUUAUAAAUUAAUCCUUCUACAGCAAAGGUGAUCUCAAUUUGGAUUUGGGAUUUGUUUCAUUUUUAUUUCUUUUUUUUUUUUUUUUUUUUUUUAAACUUCAGCUUAGUCUGGUAGUGAUUUUUUUUAUAUAUAUAUAUAAAUUUUCUAAGUUCAUGCUUGUGCACAAUGAGAGCAACUCACAUUCUGACUUUGUUUGAAUGGGAAAUAGUAUCCUAUAAAACAAAUAAAAAAAUUAACUUCAGAACUUGACUUUGAUUGAAUGGAAAAUAGUAGUGUGUUAUCUUAUCUGUUUUGAUAUUUAUAUUAAACUAAAAAUCAUUCAAAACAUAAUUUAGGAAGAUGCAUGUAUUUUAAAUCUAAUUGUGCUUUGUUAAUGUUUUGGUUUUGAAAGUCGGUGAACUUAAUCUAGACUCGGUUGUUUUGUUUGGCUCAGUACUUUGAAGUUUAGUUCCAAGAGAUGCAUUUCGUCAAACAAUUAGGAAUCGUAACUGUUUUCCUAUAAUUUCUUGGCAACCAAACGGAAGUCUACUCUCCUUUAUUAUGAGUUAUAUGAGUUUCAGGUUGGGAAAGCUGGUGGAGUGAAAUGGAAAGCAAUUUCUAAAUCUGUAAGAUCUACUUUCACUUACGAGCAACAACCAAAAUGAAUUUUGAAAGUUGUGCUCAAAAUUAUUAUGUUAACUGUUUUGAAUCACAGCAAUCCAUAUGGAGGUACUCCAUGUUUAGCUGAUUAGUCCAUUUCUGUUGAAAAUGUUGUAGUUUAUUUUUUUGGUUGAUAUUACAUCCUUAGAACUGAUUUUAUUUUUAUGUUUUAUUAUUUAUUUUGUUUGUUUUGUGUUUUUUGAAUCAUAUGCUCACUAACUGCUAUUUUCUUGUUGCAUAUUGGAGAAAGCUCCUUAGGUGGCAAAGCCUACAAAGAAGAAGGCAGAUAUGAGAAAGCAAUGGAAGAGUUUAACAGCAAACUCGUAACAUUUUUAUCACCGAAUGGCAAUGGAGAAUUGAAGCCUGCUGAAUCUGGCAAAUCACAUUUUGAGGUCCACGAUGAAGCUGAGCAGGAAGUCUUCUUAGGUAUUGUUGUGGGAGUAGUUGAUAUGAUCAAGUGGGUGAUGUUUGGAGCCAAAUUGAGAUUAUGUUGCUCUUUUUUUUUUUUUUUUUUUUUUUUUUUUGAGGACUUAAAUUUUUUAGUACGAUGUAUUUUAAGAAUGGUUAAUGGAUAUUUGUUUUACAUAUAUGAAAGUUUAUAUUUUGUUUGCACA